UACGUAGGGUGCAAGCGUUGUCCGGAAUUAUUGGGCGUAAAGAGCUCGUAGGCGGUUUGUCGCGUCUGCUGUGAAAACGCGAGGCUCAACCUCGCGCCUGCAGUGGGUACGGGCAGACUAGAGUGCGGUAGGGGAGAUCGGAAUUCCUGGUGUAGCGGUGAAAUGCGCAGAUAUCAGGAGGAACACCGGUGGCGAAGGCGGAUCUCUGGGCCAUUGCUGACGCUGAGGAGCGAAAGCGUGGGGAGCGAACAGG
rnacentral:rRNA from 1 species